rnacentral:rRNA from 1 species
UACGGAGGGAGCUAGCGUUGUUCGGAAUUACUGGGGCGUAAAGCGCACGUAGGCGGCUUUGUAAGUUAGAGGUGAAAGCCCGGGGCUCAACCCCCGGAAUUGCCUUUAAGACUGCAUCGCUUGAAUCCGGGAGAGGUGAGUGGAAUUCCGAGUGUAGAGGUGAAAUUCGUAGAUAUUCGGAAGAACACCAGUGGCGAAGGCGGCUCACUGGACCGGCAUUGACGCGUGAGGUGCGAAAGCGUGGGGAGCAAACAGG